rnacentral:rRNA from 1 species
GAUGAACGCUAGCUACAGGCUUAACACAUGCAAGUCGAGGGGAAACGACAUCGAAAGCUUGCUUUCGAUGGGCGUCGACCGGCGCACGGGUGAGUAACGCGUAUCCAACCUGCCCACCACUUGGGGGAUAACCUUGCGAAAGUAAGACUAAUACCCGAUGAUAUCCCUAGAAGACAUCUGAAAGGGAUUAAAGAUUUAUCGGUGAUGGAUGGGGAUGCGUCUGAUUAGCUUGUUGGCGGGUAACGGCCCACCAAGGCAACGAUCAGUAGGGGUUCUGAGAGGAAGGUCCCCCACAUUGGAACUGAGACACGGUCCAAACUCCUACGGGAGGCAGCAGUGAGGAAUAUUGGUCAAUGGGCGAGAGCCUGAACCAGCCAAGUAGCGUGCAGGAUGACGGCCCUAUGGGUUGUAAACUGCUUUUAUAAGGGAAUAAAGUGAGUCUCGUGAGACUUUUUGCAUGUACCUUAUGAAUAAGGACCGGCUAAUUCCGUG